rnacentral:rRNA from 1 species
AUACAUGCAAGUCGAACGAGUUCUGAUUAUUGAAAGGUGCUUGCAUCUUGAUUUAAUUUUGAACGAGUGGCGGACGGGUGAGUAACACGUGGGUAACCUGCCCUUAAGUGGGGGAUAACAUUUGGAAACAGAUGCUAAUACCGCAUAAAUCCAAGAACCGCAUGGUUCUUGGCUGAAAGAUGGCGUAAGCUAUCGCUUUUGGAUGGACCCGCGGCGUAUUAGCUAGUUGGUGAGGUAACGGCUCACCAAGGCAAUGAUACGUAGCCGAACUGAGAGGUUGAUCGGCCACAUUGGGACUGAGACACGGCCCAAACUCCUACGGGAGGCAGCAGUAGGGAAUCUUCCACAAUGGACGCAAGUCUGAUGGAGCAACGCCGCGUGAGUGAAGAAGGCUUUCGGGUCGUAAAACUCUGUUGUUGGAGAAGAAUGGUCGGCAGAGUAACUGUUGUCGGCGUGACGGUAUCCAACCAGAAAGCCACGGCUAACUACGUGCCAGCAGCCGCGGUAAUACGUAGGUGGCAAGCGUUAUCCGGAUUUAUUGGGCGUAAAGCGAGCGCAGGCGGUUUUUUAAGUCUGAUGUGAAAGCCCUCGGCUUAACCGAGGAAGUGCAUCGGAAACUGGGAAACUUGAGUGCAGAAGAGGACAGUGGAACUCCAUGUGUAGCGGUGAAAUGCGUAGAUAUAUGGAAGAACACCAGUGGCGAAGGCGGCUGUCUGGUCUGUAACUGACGCUGAGGCUCGAAAG